rnacentral:rRNA from 1 species
CCUACGGGAGGCUGCAGUGAGGAAUAUUGGUCAAUGGACGCGAGUCUGAACCAGCCAAGUAGCGUGAAGGAUGACUGCCCUAUGGGUUGUAAACUUCUUUUAUAAAGGAAUAAAAUGAGGCACGUAUGCCUCUUUGCAUGUACUUUAUGAAUAAGGAUCGGCUAACUCCGUGCCAGCAGCCGCGGUAAUACGGAGGAUCCGAGCGUUAUCCGGAUUUAUUGGGUUUAAAGGGAGCGUAGACGGGUUGUUAAGUCAGUUGUGAAAGUUUGCGGCUCAACCGUAAAAUUGCAAUUGAUACUGGCAGUCUUGAGUACAGUAGAGGUAGGCGGAAUUCGUGGUGUAGCGGUGAAAUGCUUAGAUAUCACGAAGAACCCCGAUUGCGAAGGCAGCUUACUAAACUGUGACUGACAUUGAUGCUCGAAAGUGUGGGUAUCAAACAGGAUUAGAUACCCGUGUAGUC